rnacentral:pre_miRNA from 1 species
CUAGUACUCCCUCCGUCUAGAAUUACUUGUCACAGAAAUGGAUAAAGGAUGUAUCUAGAACUAAAAUGCGUCUAGAUAUAUCCAUUUCUCCGACAAGUAUUUCCGGACGGAGGGAGUACAUG